AACGCGAAGAACCUUACCUGGGCUCGAACGGCUUAAGAUCAUCCUUGGAAACAGGGACUUCUCGCAAGAGACUUGAGUCGAGGUGCUGCAUGGCUGUCGUCAGCUCGUGUCGUGAGAUGUUGGGUUAAGUCCCGCAACGAGCGCAACCCUUGUCCUGUGUUGCCACUCCCGCAAGGGAAGCACUCUCAGGAGACCGCCAGCGAUAAGUUGGAGGAAGGUGGGGAUGAUGUCAAGUCAUCAUGGCCUUUAUGUCCAGGGCUACACACGUGCUACAAUGGGCGGUACAAAGCGCUGCAAACCCGCGAGGGGGAGCUAAUCGCAAAAAACCGUCCUCAGUUCGGAUCGCAGGCUGCAACUCGCCUGCGUGAAGCUGGAAUCGCUAGUAAUGGCGUAUCAGAACGACGCCGUGAAUACGUUCCCGGGCCUUGUA
rnacentral:rRNA from 1 species